UAGGUGACAGUUUCCUAUAAGCCUCUCAGC
rnacentral:piRNA from 1 species